GGUGUGAGGAGGCGAGGGAUUGAAGGAAAACAAGCCUGCGAGACUGCAGUAAGUGCGCGUCACAGGGGGAAGAGAACACAGCAGAGGCCCCGAGGAUGUCCUGAAGGACAGAGCCUGGACUUGGUAUCAGGAAGCCUGGAUUCUGCCCUUUUUCUCUGGUGUUCAUGAGCAAACCAUCACACCUUGGAUGAAGAGACUGCUGAUGUCUGACAGUAGCACUCAUAGUGUGGUCGCAUCAUUUAUUAUUCAAAUUGGGACAGUUUUGAGAGUGAAGGGAGGGCACUAUUAAUAUUUUUUCAGCGACAACAGGUGUAAACUGGGACUUUCCCUGACAAGCUGGGACGUAUGGUUACCUUAUGUUAUAGAUCACCUUGAGCUUUUCAGAAAAAAUUUGCACAGCUGCUUUCAAGAUACCAGUCUUUCAAGCAAAAAAUUAUCAUCCCUUACAAAAGUUUUCACCCACCAGCCUGACGUUACAGUUAUACCACAUCUGCUUCAGGAAUGCCAGAAAACAUAAACAUGGUUUAUUUAGUAAACUGCCUCAGUUGGAGCAUCUGAGAGAGAGAAGGCGUAAAAUCUGGCGGUUGGCAUGGCGUCUCGUCUUCAAUCAGAGAACCCUGAAGCUGGGAGGUUCUUCAGAAGCCUUCCAGUGUCACUGUCUGCAGCUCGGUGUCACCAUGCUCUCCCUGAAUAUUUCUAAUGAAAGAGAGUUCUCAGAAUGUGAAAACUUUUGGAGAAAGGCAAACCACAACUGAAGAGAAACAAAUUAAUAUCUCCUAACACUGAUCAUGAACUUGUUAUGUUGACUACAACGUAGAAUGAAUCAAGCCAGACGUUAUCUUGGAAUAUUUUUAUCUGAUCUGCAAAAUCCCAGUUGUGCGAGGCAAUAUUUCUCAAUGAUGCACAUCUUUCCCAUGUGGAGGAAAGAAUUUUACAACAUCUUAUCACAUAAUUUCUGUCCAUCUUCUAUGGUUUUUUUUCCCACUUAUUUUGUCUUUUCCUUUGGAUAUUUCACCUUUCCUUGAUAUGGGUUCCAAGAUGUUGCUGUAUUUACUGACUUACUAUUUAAAGCGGGCCAAUCUCUAAAACAAUGAUAAUUCUCUGUAAUUUUUUGAUCAAAUCAUCUGAUUUUAACAUUUGGCUGAGUGUGUUGAGACUUAGCUGUUCUCCCUUGCAAUGUUUCACUCUUCAUCCCUUUAUUUAGAAAAUGUUUCGGGCCUACUAUGUUCCUUUCAUUUUCACUGUUUCUU